GGGGCGGCUGGUUCUUCCCGUCCUCCCCACCCCGGGGACACGCUUCUAGUAGGCCAAACUCCCAGGUGACCCCCGCAAGAAACGCGGUCCGGAGAGGGUCUGGCCCCACUGCUGGGGCAAGGGCUCUAGGCGCCCGGACCCCACGCCCGCAGCCUGCGGAGAACGUGCCGACAAGGACCUGUAGGGCCCCACUCCCCCUCCUCCCUCCCUCGGCGCAGCCCGGCCCAGGGGUCUGUCCUCCCAGGCCCAGGAAAGGAGGAAACCCACUUCCGCCGCGUCCAUGAUCUCCCGCGGCUUCUCCUGACUCUUGCGGCUGGCGCUGGCGCUGGGCAUCGGGACACGGAACUGGGCAGUGGACACCACCCUCCCUCGCAGGCUUCCAAAGUAAUUUGAAGGCCUUCCCUGACUUAAAGUGGAUGCUGCUUUGGAAAGCACUGGAAAAAUGGAUCCUGUCUUUCUUAGCCAAGGACUGGUCUCUUUUCUCCAAUGUGUCCCUAACAGAGUGGUGAGGCUGGCUCUUCCCACCAGUACAGGAAGAUCAUUCCUUAAAAGAAAUAGCCAUAUGGCUUAUAAGGGACUAUAUCUUAAGACUAUGUGUCUUCUGCAGUUCUUUGCAUAGAGUCAACGUUGAAGGACAAGCAACUUCAAAUUUCCAAGCAACAAAAUUAUGUUCGGGUGGUUUUCUGAAAGCGAGAUCUUAAGAACCACCUGUAUCAGAAUCCCAUGAAGAGCUUGUUUAGUGUGCAAAUUUACAGAUUGUCCCCCCUCAGAAAUGCUCAUUUAGGAGUUCCUGUCCUUUGCGGGGACAUGGAUGAAGCUGGAAACCAUCAUUCUCAGCAAACUAACACAGGAACAGAAAACCAAACACUGCAUGUUCUCACUCAAAAGUGGGAGUUGAACAAUGAGAACACAUGGACACAGGGAGGGGAACGUCACACACCAGGGCCUGUCGGGGGUGGGAGGUAAGGGGAGGGAGAGGAUUAGGACAAAUACCUAAUGCAUGUGGGGCUUAAAACCUAGAUGAUGGGUUGAUAGGUGCAGCAAACCACCAUGGACAUGUAUACCUAUGUAACAAACUUGCAUGUUCAGUACAUGUAUCCCAGAACUUAAAGUAAAAUAUAAAACAAUAAUAAAAA
rnacentral:lncRNA from 1 species